AGAUGAGAAGCUUGCUUCUCUGAUGUUAGCGGCGGAUGGGUGAGUAACACGUGGGCAACCUGCCCUGCAGAUGGGGAUAACUCCGGGAAACCGGGGCUAAUACCGAAUAAUCAGUUGGUUCGCAUGAACCAACUCUGAAAGACGGUUUCGGCUGUCACUGCAGGAUGGGCCCGCGGCGCAUUAGCUAGUUGGUGGGGUAAUGGCCUACCAAGGCGACGAUGCGUAGCCGACCUGAGAGGGUGAUCGGCCACACUGGGACUGAGACACGGCCCAGACUCCUACGGGAGGCAGCAGUAGGGAAUCUUCCACAAUGGACGAAAGUCUGAUGGAGCAAUGCCGCGUGAGCGAAGAAGGUUUUCGGA
rnacentral:rRNA from 1 species